GUGAACGCUGGCGGCGUGCCUAAUACAUGCAAGUCGAACGAUGAAGCUUUUAGCUUGCUAGAAGUGGAUUAGUGGCGCACGGGUGAGUAAUGCAUAGGUUAUGUGCCCUUUAGUCUAGGAUAGCCACUGGAAACGGUGAUUAAUACUGGAUACUCCCUACGGGGGAAAGUUUUUCGCUAAAGGAUCAGCCUAUGUCCUAUCAGCUUGUUGGUGAGGUAAUGGCUCACCAAGGCUAUGACGGGUAUCCGGCCUGAGAGGGUGAACGGACACACUGGAACUGAGACACGGUCCAGACUCCUACGGGAGGCAGCAGUAGGGAAUAUUGCUCAAUGGGGGAAACCCUGAAGCAGCAACGCCGCGUGGAGGAUGAAGGUUUUAGGAUUGUAAACUCCUUUUGUGAGAGAAGAUUAUGACGGUAUCUCACGAAUAAGCACCGGCUAACUCCGUGCCAGCAGCCGCGGUAAUACGGAGGGUGCAAGCGUUACUCGGAAUCACUGGGCGUAAAGAGCGCGUAGGCGGAAUAGCAAGUCAGAUGUGAAAUCCUAUGGCUUAACCAUAGAACUGCAUUUGAAACUGUUAUUCUAGAGUAUGGGAGAGGUAGGUGGAAUUCUUGGUGUAGGGGUAAAAUCCGUAGAGAUCAAGAGGAAUACUCAUUGCGAAGGCGACCUGCUAGAACAUAACUGACGCUGAUGCGCGAAAGCGUGGGGAGCAAACAGGAUUAGAUACCCUGGUAGUCCAUGCCCUAAACGAUGAAUGCUAGUUGUUGUGGAGCUUGUCUCUGCAGUAAUGCAGCUAACGCAUUAAGCAUUCCG
rnacentral:rRNA from 1 species